UUCUCAUGAUUGAUGUACUGUACAGUCAGAAAAAUGAAAGAAUACCCAUGCGUCAUCGAUGAUAUUAGUCUAAACUAAGUUAAUAAUGAAAGUAAACGGAUGUGACUACUACCCCACUGUACGAUUUUUCGCUACGUAAGGGCGUGUCAAAAAUUUUUUGUGAUGCUAUUCUUUUUCUGAUAAUAUAUAUUUAUUGGUGAUAAAUGUUACUAUUACUACCAUAAUUAAUUACCGUAAUUUUGGGUGACUUUGGCCCGCCAGGGUGACUUUGGCUCAUUUUGGGAAAAAUAUAUUUUAGCAACUAGGGCAAUUGUACAAUAAAUUAUCAAGUAAAUUUCAUUAUACCGCACCAUCAGUACCAUAUGAACUGUUUGAAAAUUUUAAUAAAUUAUGCUAAUACUUGUUAUGUUACGAAAAAAACGAAUUUCUAAAAUUUGGUCAUUCCACAUAAGAUUUUUUGACUGCAAAGUUGGCAACCAAUAAUACUUCCAAGAGUAAGAUUAAUUGCAUAGUGGCAUAUUGAAAAUCUGUGAAUUCUUAACCUCCGUGCAUCGUUAUUUCAGUCUAAACAUAGACAGUAAGACGGUCGGAUAUUAUUUUGCAAGGUGCUACAAAAUUUAACGGUUUUCGGGUGACUUUGUCCCAGUUUGUUGAUUGUUGGAUUUUGGUCAUUGGUUGCUUCUAUAUUAAAUUAAAAUACUUCGUCUAAUUCUUCAUUUAGUGAGAGCUAUAGGGAUAAUGAAGAUCUACAUAAGCUUUCCAUUGGAGUUGGAGACUUCGUAAUUGUAUCUGACUACUUUGACAGCUUUCCAGGAAAAUUCGAUGGAUUUGUAAGAGGUAGUAAUAACUGUUACGGUUGGGUGCAAGUAAUGGUACUGGGUGAAAGAAGUUUAUGGCAAUGGCCCGAAGUCUCCGUAAGAAAAUCCUACCACUUGGCUAAUGUUGAUUUCACUGAGCCAUUGGAACUUGUAGAUAACCGAUAUUUCUUUCCAGAUUUAAAAAAAAGCUUGUAAAUCGUUUUAUUGUUCAUUUUUUGUUAAGAAAUGAUGUUUUUUGUUAACCUAGGGUCCUAUGUAAAGUUUCAUGUUAGUUUUAGUUUUUCUUUGUUUGAAAUUUAAAUAAAUUUUUUUCACCUAACAAAA